GACGAACGCUGGCGGCGUGCUUAACACAUGCAAGUCGAGCGGGAAACUUCGGUUUCCAGCGGCGGACGGGUGAGUAACACGUGGGCAACCUGCCUCACAAUGAGGGAUAGCCUUCCGAAAGGAGGAUUAAUACCUCAUAACACAAGAGAAACGCAUGUUUCUCUUGCCAAAGAAUUUCGUUGUGAGAUGGGCCCGCGGCGCAUUAGCUUGUUGGUGAGGUAACGGCUCACCAAGGCUGCGAUGCGUAGCCGACCUGAGAGGGUGAUCGGCCACAUUGGAACUGAGACACGGUCCAGACUCCUACGGGAGGCAGCAGUGGGGAAUAUUGCACAAUGGAGGAAACUCUGAUGCAGCAACGCCGCGUGAGUGAUGAAGGUCUUCGGAUUGUAAAGCUCUGUCUUCUGGGACGAUAAUGACGGUACCAGAGGAGGAAGCCACGGCUAACUACGUGCCAGCAGCCGCAGUAA
rnacentral:rRNA from 1 species